rnacentral:rRNA from 1 species
AGGACGAACGCUGGCGGCGUGCUUAACACAUGCAAGUCGAGCGGAAAGGCCCUUCGGGGUACUCGAGCGGCGAACGGGUGAGUAACACGUGAGCAACCUGCCCCUGGCUCUGGGAUAGCCUUCGGAAACGGGGAUUAAUACCGGAUAUUCACUGCUUCCUGCAUGGGGGGUGGUGGAAAGUUUUUCGGCUGGGGUGGGCUCGCGGCCUAUCAGCUUGUUGGGGGGGUGACGGCCCACCAAGGCGACGACGGGUAGCCGGCCUGAGAGGGCGACCGGCCACACUGGGACUGAGACACGGCCCAGACUCCUACGGGAGGCAGCAGUGGGGAAUAUUGGACAAUGGGCGCAAGCCUGAUCCAGCCAUGCCGCGUGAGUGAUGAAGGCCCUAGGGUUGUAAAGCUCUUUUGUGCGGGAAGAUAAUGACGGUACCGCAAGAAUAAGCCCGGCUAACUUCGCGCCAGCAGCCGC